ACCAAAGCUCAUUUACUUUUUGACAUAAGCAAAUUGCUUGGCUUAUGACAAUUAAUGUUUAUCAUUGAUGUUUAUCAUUAUCAAUGAUGGCAAUGCAUUUUUCUAUCAAGUAUAACAGAGUUUCGCUUGCGUGGAUUGAGAGAUGUUAAACAGUAUUGAAGGGUCUGCUAUCGAUUUUUUUGUUUGGUAAUGGGAAGUUUGUUGUGUAUCAGGA